ACGGGUGAGGAACACGUAGGAACCUGCCCUUAAGCGGGGGACAACCAAGGGAAACUUUGGCUAAUACCGCAUAAACUCGCAAGAGCAAAGCUGCCCGCAAGGGUGGCACUUAAGGAGGGGCCUGCGUCCGAUUAGCUAGUUGGUGAGGUAAAGGCUCACCAAGGCGAUGAUCGGUAACUGGUCUGAGAGGACGGCCAGUCACACUGGGACUGAGACACGGCCCAGACUCCUACGGGAGGCAGCAGUGGGGAAUAUUGGACAAUGGGGGCAACCCUGAUCCAGCGAUGCCGCGUGGGUGAAGAAGGCCUUAGGGUUGUAAAGCCCUUUAGGUUGGGACGAAGUGUAGUAGUUGAUAAUGCUAUUGCAUUGACGGUACCAACAGAAUAAGCACCGGCAAACUCUGUGCCAGCAGCCGCGGUAAUACAGAGGGUGCAAGCGUUAAUCGGAGUUACUGGGCGUAAAGGGCGCGUAGGCGGUGAGAUGAGUGUGAUGUGAAAGCCCCGGGCUUAACCUGGGAAGUGCAUCGCAAACGAUCUGACUGGAGUAUAAGAGAGGGUGGCGGAAUUUCCGGU
rnacentral:rRNA from 1 species